rnacentral:rRNA from 1 species
GAUGAACGCUGGCGGCGUGCCUAAUACAUGCAAGUAGAACGCUGAAGCUUGGUGCUUGCACCGAGCGGAUGAGUUGCGAACGGGUGAGUAACGCGUAGGUAACCUGCCUCUUAGCGGGGGAUAACUAUUGGAAACGAUAGCUAAUACCGCAUAAAAGUCGAUAUCGCAUGAUGUUGAUUUGAAAGGUGCAAUUGCAUCACUAAGAGAUGGACCUGCGUUGUAUUAGCUAGUUGGUGAGGUAACGGCUUACCAAGGCGACGAUACAUAGCCGACCUGAGAGGGUGAUCGGCCACACUGGGACUGAGACACGGCCCAGACUCCUACGGGAGGCAGCAGUAGGGAAUCUUCGGCAAUGGGGGCAACCCUGACCGAGCAACGCCGCGUGAGUGAAGAAGGUUUUCGGAUCGUAAAGCUCUGUUGUAAGAGAAGAACGAGUGUGAGAGUGGAAAGUUCACACUGUGACGGUAACUUACCAGAAAGGGACGGCUAACUACGUGCCAGCAGCCGCGGUAAUACGUAGGUCCCGAGCGUUAUCCGGAUUUAUUGGGCGUAAAGCGAGCGCGGGCGGUUAGAUAAGUCUGAAGUUAAAGGCUGUGGCUUAACCAUAGUACGCUUUGGAAACUGUUUAACUUGAGUGCAGAAGGGGAGAGUGGAAUUCCAUGUGUAGCGGUGAAAUGCGUAGAUAUAUGGAGGAACACCGGUGGCGAAAGCGGCUCUCUGGUCUGUAACUGACGCUGAGGCUCGAAAGCGUGGGGAGCAAACAGG